rnacentral:ncRNA from 2 species
GGUCAUGAGUCCCAGCAUCGAGCUCCGGCUAGCUGGGCGGCAACCCUCCUCCGCGGUGGGGUGCUCCGGAUGAAGACCUGGCGGGGCCGAACGGCUCCCGCAAGCGCGGGCU